GCAGUCGAACGGCAGCAUGAUCUAGCUUGCUAGAUUGAUGGCGAGUGGCGAACGGGUGAGUAAUACAUCGGAACGUGCCCUGUAGUGGGGGAUAACUAGUCGAAAGAUUAGCUAAUACCGCAUACGACCUGAGGGUGAAAGUGGGGGACCGCAAGGCCUCAUGCUAUAGGAGCGGCCGAUGUCUGAUUAGCUAGUUGGUGAGGUAAAGGCUCACCAAGGCGACGAUCAGUAGCUGGUCUGAGAGGACGAUCAGCCACACUGGGACUGAGACACGGCCCAGACUCCUACGGGAGGCAGCAGUGGGGAAUUUUGGACAAUGGGCGAAAGCCUGAUCCAGCAAUGCCGCGUGUGUGAAGAAGGCCUUCGGGUUGUAAAGCACUUUUGUCCGGAAAGAAAUGGCUCUGGUUAAUACCUGGGGUCGAUGACGGUACCGGAAGAAUAAGGACCGGCUAACUACGUGCCAGCAGCCGCGGUAAUACGUAGGGUCCAAGCGUUAAUCGGAAUUACUGGGCGUAAAGCGUGCGCAGGCGGUUGUGCAAGACCGAUGUGAAAUCCCCGAGCUUAACUUGGGAAUUGCAUUGGUGACUGCACGGCUAGAGUGUGUCAGAGGGGGGUAGAAUUCCACGUGUAGCAGUGAAAUGCGUAGAGAUGUGGAGGAAUACCGAUGGCGAAGGCAGCCCCCUGGGAUAACACUGACGCUCAUGCACGAAAGCGUGGGGAGCAAACAGGAUUAGAUACCCUGGUAGUCCACGCCCUAAACGAUGUCAACUAGUUGUUGGGGAUUCAUUUCCUUAGUAACGUAGCUAACGCGUGAAGUUGACCGCCUGGGGAGUACGGUCGCAAGAUUAAAACUCAAAGGAAUUGACGGGGACCCGCACAAGCGGUGGAUGAUGUGGAUUAAUUCGAUGCAACGCGAAAAACCUUACCUACCCUUGACAUGCCACUAACGAAGCAGAGAUGCAUUAGGUGCUCGAAAGAGAAAGUGGACACAGGUGCUGCAUGGCUGUCGUCAGCUC
rnacentral:rRNA from 1 species